CUGCGGGCCGCGCGCACAGCUAACCGGCUGCCCUGCCGAGUCCCCGGCGCUGCGCGGCCGCCGCAGGCUCCUCAGCGAGAAGCGGCCUGCGGGCGGCGGAGGGCGGAGGAGUGAGCGCGGAGGAGUGAGCGCGGGGCGGAGCCCUUCGCCCACAGGUUUCCUCAGGCCUCGGGCGCCGGGCCGCCCCGGGACGCUGAGUGGGCCCUCGGGGGAUGCUCGGCGGCGAACGGCCCCGACGACGCCGAGGGCGCAGGUGGGGCCGCCGCCCGGCGAGAGGCCGGGGCCUCUGUCUGGAAGCGGGAACCCAGCUCAAGUGGCGACCGUGGGCCCGUCCCCCCCGUCCGCCGGCGCCUCUUGUGAAGGGAGGCCGAGGACAGAGGCGAGACGGAGUUCCUGCUGCCCUGGGCUCAGUAACUCGCUGCAGGCCUGGGGUGUCGUCGCCCUCGCCGCACACCGAGCAGCCGCGUGUUUCCUCCUCGAGCGAAGCACCGCAGCCUGAGAAGUUGAGGAUUUUGAGCAGUAGAGGGCAAGACGGGGAGCGCUCGAUGUAAAACCGACCUUACUUUCAUCGACAUAACUCGGCAGAGCUGCCAGACGUACAGAAUGGCCUUGGGGAAGCGAGAGGGGCCCACCCUAGGGACAGGUGAGGGCCUCAUCCCGGAGGGGGCUUUUCCCGAGAUGGGAACGGCGCGCAGGAGCCUAAGACCGUUAAGAAGGGCCAGAGUCUUCUGCCGCCCCAGCUUCGGAGGAGGGGCAGGUUUUGUUUUGCCAUGAACGCGUGCUGUCUGGUCUCCGUCUUUGCGGAUGCUGUGUCCAGAGUUCUCACAGUCAUUCAGUCAGCAGCGAAUCCGGAGCUCCCGCGGGGCCAGGCGCUGCGGCGGAUACUUAGGAUAGAGCAACAAGCAAACCCCACAAGAAGCCCUUCCCUCACCGGGACGAGACAAUAAAGGACAAUGAGUAAAACAUACUAUGUUGCGCUGCUGUAGGAGCCGAGGUGAAGACCCUAAUGAGCUAGAGGACACUGGGAUUCAGAGUAUUGCCAAGUAGAAAACAUAGGACGCUAUUCUAGAAUGCUGAUUUGUGCUUCUAUCAAAAAGAGUUGAGGAGAAGUGUAGCAAGAAUUGGUAACCAGAAGUGUCAUCUUUCCAGUUUUUCACUGUAGCUCAGAACACGGGACAUUUUUUGCUGGAAGUCGGAGAGAUGGGGACAUCUGUGCAGCUCUAAGAGAGAAAGGAGCCCUCCCAUCACAUCUCGUGGCUGUAUCUAUAAAGAGCUGCAGAGCACUACUCCAUGGUGUGGCUGUACCCACCACAUUCAUGCAACCGCUCUCCUACGUAUGAGCAUCCAGGCUGUUCCCAAUAUUUUACAAUUACAAACAAUGCUGCAAGGAAUAACUCUGUGCCUAUGAAUGUUCAUAUUUUUGGAGGUGCAUCUCUAAGGUAAAUUUCUAGAAGUAGGACAAAAGAAUAUCAGCCUGAGCUACGUGAUACAAGCGAAACACGGUCAGCCACAAGACACAUCAUUUUCCUAUAUUAGUACAGGAAGGGAGUUCUGAUCUACCAGGCGACCUUGGUUUCAUCCAGCUGCUUCUCAUAAUGGUGCACCUAAGGUCAGGAAGCAAAACCGCCACCACGUUAUUCAACUCAAGGCCAUGGAAAGGUGAUGGGGGCGCCUCUCUUCCUGCAGAAAGAAUUCAGCACUGCUGGGGUCGAGGUCGCCAAACUAGAAAGAAGAAGGGCAAAGCUGUCAUCUCCCAAGUGUCCUCCUUCGACCUAUGACAUAUCACAGGCCUGUUCCCGUGCCCACCCAGUCCCCUGAGGAUGAAAGGAAUGUGACACUUAAGCAGAGACACCACCAGCUGGAGGAUGUGGAGAACGUGCUGGAGUGAUGUGUUUGGCUAAGGCAGGGUCACUUCUCAGCACCAUGCAAUGAUUCCCUCAUGUCCAACCUGCUAGAUUUGGUCCCUGCGGAAAGGACAACUCCUUUAGCCCCUAAAGAAUCCCCUACCAGCAAUGUUCUGGGUGGCGCUGCUCCUGUCCUUUGAGCAACUGCACUUUGAGUUUCUUAUGAGGAAAUCAAAUUCAAACAG